rnacentral:lncRNA from 1 species
UCACCGUAGGGCGCAGAGGGAGAAAGGCGCCGGGUUACCAUGGAAUCCUGUUCAAUUGAUGAGGAAGGGGCUGGUGCUCCGGGAGGGAAACAUUCAACCUCAAGGCUGCCCUGGGAGCCCGCCAUGCCCUGCUCUGCUUAGUGACGUCCGGUUUAGCUGCCAAGAGUCUGUUCUGGCUGGAAGUGCUGGGAUCCCCACGAUCUUUCACCUCGCCAGUCACGGCCGUGGGUGCGCAUCCUUGGAACUGGCGUUCUCAGGAGCCCACUCUAGCCAACCCAGGGGUCUCGGCAGAGCCAGAAGAACCGGCCCCACCACUGAAACCCCGAUUAUCACCCACUCUGAGCCUCCGGGGAGCUGAGUCUGCCCCUGGAGAUCCUCCCUGAAGAUCCCCCGUCCUCCCUGCAGCUGCCCAGAGUUCACGGAAACUGCUCCCACCCGAGAAGCAAGGGAAGCUUAGCUGUGGGGCAUCGCUGCUGAGUAGGCUGGACCGCCUCAGGUCUCCAAGAAUUCUAAAAACCCAGACAGAUCUCUGUGGGGUGGAGGGCAGGAAAGGGCUCCCCAGGUCCCGGGAUGUUGGGGUUUCUAAAAUAUGCCAUGAUCUAUGUCUUCCUGCAACUAAGUUUUCUGUCUACAGAGGAUCUGCAUUCUCCAGGCCGGGGAAGACCCCCUCCCCCAUCGCCAGCAACCCCAGACACACCCGCACUCCAAGCUGACAGUGCCUUCCCUUGGUGCUCGAUCCUUCUACCGAGCCCCCCUCUUCCUCUGGGAUCUCUGUGUAGGCCUCCUCGGAGAGGCCUUAUCAAGUGUCUAUUUUCACCAGGCUGGGGUGUGGUUGCCAAGGAGAGCCCGCCCCUCCCCCCGGGGGGCUGCGAGGAGUCCUCAGGAAAGGGGGCGACAAUUUGACUUGUGUAUUUGUUCACUC